rnacentral:rRNA from 1 species
GAUGAACGCUGGCGGCGUGCUUAACACAUGCAAGUCGAACGGAAAGGCUCCUGCUUGCAGGGGUACUCGAGUGGCGAACGGGUGAGUAACACGUGGGUGAUCUGCCCUGCACUUCGGGAUAAGCCUGGGAAACUGGGUCUAAUACCGGAUAGGACGAUGGUUUGGAUGCCAUUGUGGAAAGUUUUUCGGUGUGGGAUGAGCUCGCGGCCUAUCAGCUUGUUGGUGGGGUAAUGGCCUACCAAGGCGUCGACGGGUAGCCGGCCUGAGAGGGUGUACGGCCACAUGGGGACUGAGAUACGGCCCAGACGCCUACGGGAGGCAGCAGGGGGGAAUAUUGCACAAUGGGCGCAAGCCUGAUGCAGCGACGCCGCGUGGGGGAUGACGGCCUUCGGGUUGUAAACUCCUUUCGCUAGGGACGAAGCGCAAGUGACGGUACCUGGAGAAGAAGCACCGGCUAACUACGUG